CUCAUCUAGAGGGUUGAUGGGCUUUCAGAAGGGGCAAUCGCACAACGGCCCACAUGAUUGAUGAUCCAUCUUGUUGGGUAAAUGAGGGACAACACCACUAAUAUCUAUGUUCAUCAUGUGUUGCUUCCCCCAGCUACCUUGUCCUUAAAAAACACACAUCCUUCCCUUUUAGGAUGUUAUCCGUCUUUCCCUCUUUCUCUAACUCCCAUUCCAUUCUCCCCCAUAGCUGAAGUCAGAAGAAGACUACUUUGAGUCAGGAAAGCAAGAAAGACAACUGCUCUGAUGUCUGGCAGAAGAUCGAGAGCUUCAACACUCACACAGGAUGAGAUUAAUGAUCUUGUCCUCCAAUUGCGAGCUUUAUUACCAGAGAUUCGUCAGAGGGGCACAACCGGGGUGACGAUGUUGGAGAUUUUGAAAGAGGCAUGCAAUUACAUAAAGAGGCUACACAGAGAGGUGGAUGGCCUAAGUCAGAGACUGUCCGACCUAAUGGCUUCUGUCAAUACCAACAGCCCUGAGGCAGACAUCCUACGGAAUCUACUUAUGCAAGAAUAGCAGCGCUCUCUCUCCCCAAGUCACCAGUCUCACCCUCUAUGCCUCUAUCCAUCUAUCUGUAGUUCGUGUAUGUGAAUGCAUAUUUUUCAAUGCAAUCUCCUACCAGGCUACCACUUCCGUUUCUGUUGUCCUUAGCUUCAGUCAACUCAAACAAGAUGACACGCAGAUCUGAUAAUUAAAGACCCACUUUUUUAUGGGCCCACUAUAUAAAGGCCCACUUGAGGUUGAGGGCUUGAGGCGUGCCGCGUGAGUCGUGAGGGCCUGAGGGAGGAGCACUACCGCACUAGAGUUGGCGUAUCAUCCAUUUCCGGGAAUGUUAGCCUGACAACAUAAUAAGAGAACUUUUUAGAUUAAUGAUUAGUUUUA